UUACGGCCAUAUCACGUUGAAAUAUCAGUUCUCGUUAGAUCAUCGAAGUUAAGUAACGUUGAACCUGAUCAAUACGAAGCUGGGUGACCGUUGGGGAAUACCAGGUUCUGUAAG